rnacentral:rRNA from 1 species
UACGUAGGGUGCGAGCGUUGUCCGGAAUUAUUGGGCGUAAAGGGCUCGUAGGCGGUUUGUCGCGUCGGGAGUGAAAACCAGGUGCUUAACACCUGGCUUGCCUUCGAUACGGGCAGACUAGAGGUAUUCAGGGGAGAACGGAAUUCCUGGUGUAGCGGUGAAAUGCGCAGAUAUCAGGAGGAACACCUGUGGCGAAAGCGGCUCACUGGACCAUAACUGACGCUGAUGCACGAAAGCUAGGGGGAGCAAACAGG